AAGCAGGGGAUCGUAAGACCUUGCGCUUUUGGAGCGGCCGAUGUCUGAUUAGCUAGUUGGUGGGGUAAUGGCCUACCAAGGCUUCGAUCAGUAGCUGGUCUGAGAGGACGGCCAGCCACACUGGGACUGAGACACGGCCCAGACUCCUACGGGAGGCAGCAGUGGGGAAUUUUGGACAAUGGGCGCAAGCCUGAUCCAGCCAUGCCGCGUGAGUGAAGAAGGCCUUCGGGUUGUAAAGCUCUUUCAGCCGGGAAGAAAAGGUUGCGACAAAUAAUCGCAAUUCAUGACGGUACCGAAAGAAGAAGCACCGGCUAACUACGUGCCAGCAGCCGCGGUAAUACGUAGGGUGCGAGCGUUAAUCGGAAUUACUGGGCGUAAAGGGUGCGCAGGCGGUUUUGUAAGUCAGAUGUGAAAUCCCCGGGCUUAACCUGGGAACUGCGUUUGAAACUACAAAGCUAGAGU
rnacentral:rRNA from 1 species